rnacentral:rRNA from 1 species
UAAAGUGAACGCUUGGCGCGUCUUAAACAUGCAGUCGAACGAACCUUCGGGUUAGUGGCGGACGGGUGAGUAACGCGUGAGAAUCUGCCCUCAGGAGGGGGAUAACGGUUGGAAACGACCGCUAAUACCCCAUAUGCCUACUGGUGAAAUGAAUUUCGCCUGAGGAUGAGCUCGCGUCUGAUUAGCUUGUUGGUGAGGUAAUGGCUCACCAAGGCUUCGAUCAGUAGCUGGUCUGAGAGGAUGAUCAGCCACACUGGGACUGAGACACGGCCCAGACUCCUACGGGAGGCAGCAGUGGGGAAUUUUCCGCAAUGGGCGAAAGCCUGACGGAGCAACGCCGCGUGAGGGAUGAAGGCCUCUGGGCUGUAAACCUCUUUUCUCAAGGAAGAAGAUAUGACGGUACUUGAGGAAUAAGCCACGGCUAAUUCCGUGCCAGCAGCCGCGGUAAUACGGGAGUGGCAAGCGUUAUCCGGAAUUAUUGGGCGUAAAGCGUCCGCAGGCGGCCUUUCAAGUCUGCUGUUAAAGCGUGGAGCUUAACUCCAUCAUGGCAGUGGAAACUGAAAGGCUUGAGUAUGGUAGGGGCAGAGGGAAUUCCCGGUGUAGCGGUGAAAUGCGUAGAUAUCGGGAAGAACACCAGUGGCGAAGGCGCUCUGCUGGGCCAUUACUGACGCUCAUGGACGAAAGCCAGGGGAGCGAAAGGGAUUAGAUACCCCUGUAGUCCUGGCCGUAAACGAUGAACACUAGGUGUCGGGGGAAUCGACCCCUUCGGUGUCGUAGCUAACGCGUUAAGUGUUCCGCCUGGGGAGUACGCACGCAAGUGUG